rnacentral:rRNA from 1 species
CAGCAGCCGCGGGAAUACGUAGGGUGCGAACGUUAAUCGGAAUUACUGGGCGUAAAGCGUGCGCAGGCGGUUGUGUAAGACAGGUGUGAAAUCCCCGGGCUUAACCUGGGAACUGCGCUUGUGACUGCACAGCUAGAGUAUGGCAGAGGGGGGUGGAAUUCCACGUGUAGCAGUGAAAUGCGUGGAGAUGUGGAGGAACACCGAUGGCGAAGGCAGCCCCCUGGGCCAAUACUGACGCUCAUGCACGAAAGCGUGGGGAGCAAACAGGAUUAGAUACCCCCGUAGUCCCUGUCUCUUAUAC